rnacentral:rRNA from 1 species
GACAGAGGGUGCGAACGUUGCUCGGAAUUACUGGGCGUAAAGCGCGUGUAGGCGGUUUCGCAAGUCCGGUGUGAAAGCCCGGGGCUUAACCCCGGAAUUGCACCUAAAACUACUUGGCUAGAGCAUUGGAGAGGGGAGCAGAAUUCAUGGUGUAGCAGUGAAAUGACGUAGAUAUCAUGAGGAAUACCAGAGGCGAAGGCGGCUACCUGGACAAUUGCUGACGCUCAGGCACGAAAGCGUGGGGAGCAAAAGGG